rnacentral:other from 1 species
AAUCCCCUGCGGUGUUCGAUAGGACAGCCUUCCUCCUGAGCCGAUAAUCAUGAGCCCUGGGAUCCUGCACUGUCCGUGAAGUGUUGGCCGUAUGGCCGACCGGAAGCGGUUAUCGGGAGCCCACCUUAAACGAAGGGUUCAGAGGAGCACGUUCAACGGCACAUGUGGGGGAUUG